GCAUUCUUAGCUCAGUUGGAUAGAGCUACAACCUUCUAAGUUGAAGGUCACAGGUUCGAACCCUGUAGAGUGCA
rnacentral:tRNA from 1 species